GCCAGGGCUGAAAGCUCCAUCGCGGUCCCAGAUGGGGCUGUGAGUGUGACCCCAGCCCAGGCCAAGCUCUCAGCCCCUACCCCUACCCCUACCCCUACCCCAGCUGGGCCACCAGGGGGCUGAGAGCAGCGAGGGGACAUGGCCUCAGCCAGAAUAGGCGGGCCUUGGCCGGAAGAGGUGGGGCAGGGGGAUAGCCUCCCCAAAGGGAAGCUUCACCCUCCACCCAUGUGAGUGAUAUAAAAGGAACUCUUAAGGCCAUAUUAGAAGAAUAUUGAAAUGGUAAACCGGGCCACUCCUUGAACAUAGUUAUCAAAGCCAUGUUCAAUAGACCAGAAUCCUUGUGUUUACCUAUAUCUUGUUAGAAGUUUAAUAAUAUGAUCUAAUUAGCUUGUAGAUGCUGAACUUCUGUUCCUGUCUAUAAUGUUUCAUUACAUUCAUUCUAUUGAUUCAGAGAUCAAAAAGGGAUAUUAUCAUUUAGAUGGGACUUGUGGUAUCGUAAUGUUAUUGACUUAAUUUCUCUUUGAAAUUUAUAGUAAAACUACCUGUGCACUGUUUGAUGGUUAAUUGUCUUAUGGUAAUGAAUACAACUAGUUACUGGUGCACUCCUAGGAAACCAAGAUUAGCUUCAAAGCAACAAUGCACAUAACCUGUUCUUCAUCCAGGGAAGCCCUGCUGUGAUCAUUUGCUGCCAAGAGACUUAUCCACUGAACUUCAGCUAUAAAGAAAGUUUCUGACCUGAUCCUUUUUACCACAGAUCUGCUUAAACUUUUGACAGGGAAAGACUAAGCCCACAAGACUGAGGUCUCUAGGUCUACGCUGGAUUAACCCUGCAAUUCUCGUGAAACAAUUUGAACAAACUCUGCUUAUGGACUGCCUAUUAGACUAUAAAUUUUAAAUUGAUUCAAGAAGGAUUAUUACAAAUCAUCAGCCUCACCAUCUCUGAUAUGAAACUGACCUAAGAACUUUAUUCAUAUCUGUAUGUAUAUUGAUCUUUUAACCAUAGCAACUUUUUUCUUUUUGCUUUUUAUUAAUAAAUCUUAGAUUUAGUUAAUAAGGAUUGGCUUUACAGUGUAUUGGGUAAGAUCUGAAAUAUUUAUUGACCUGGUGGGUAAUGUGUCUUGGGAUUGGUAGAACUUUACAUAUGGUGAAUAAGGUUUUUAGUACCCCUUAUUAUAUUCGACUUGGCUGUCUGGGUGGGAACCAAAGGCUAGAUUGCUUAAAAGGGACUGUAUUUUGGCUUCUUGGUAACCAGUAAGGUAUUACAGAAGCUGUUUGGUUACUGGCUUGGAGAAAUAUAAUUAUAGAAUAACCAUUAGUUUUGGGGAUUGUCUACCUUUAUUUUUUGUAGUUUGCCCUGAAUAAGCAUUCUUGAUGUGGCCUCUGCAGGUACCACAACCCCAUUUAGGCCUCAAUGCAGUAAAGAAUUAAAGUAUGCGGUAUAUUUAAAGAUGAAUAGUCCUGUUGAAGUCAAUGAAAUUACUUUCAUGCUUGAUGUUAAGCAUGUGCUUAAGUGCUCUGAUGGAUCAGAGUCUUAGACUGAAAGUAUAUGGUUGCUCUUUGUGUAAUGGGAAACAACAGAGAUCUCACAUGAGUAAGGACAACAGAAUUUUAUUGAUCAAUUUUGAAAUGUUUAGUUCUUUCAUUGUCAAGAUAUUUUGGGGUCAGAGAUGUGGGGGGAGGAGGAAGUAUGUUUCCUUGUUUGAGAUGCCAUUUCAUGUUAAUGUCUCAAGGUGAUUCUUGAUGAUAAGAUUAAAUUGGUCUUGGUUUAUAAAAAUGUCUGAGCUAGUUUCAUACCUUAAUGCAGGUGUACUAAAUACAUACAUUAGAAUAUGGCUCUGCAGUUGUUCUGCCCUGUUGCACCCAUAGCAUGGCAUAUUUAUUUAAAAAAAAAAUCCAUAAUUACAGGUAUUUAUUUAGCUGACAGACCAGAACAGAUCCAAUGAAGUUGUUCCAGUCUCAGAAUUAAAUUAAAUGCAUCUUGCAAAACUGUCUAAUUACAUAUUUAUCCAAGGAGCUGUUCUCAUCUUGAGGGUAAAUAAAGCACAAUUUAUAGAAAUUGAUGGAAGUUUUUUUUUCUUUUUUCUUUUUCAUUUUACAUAGAUAUCCAAGUUGUGACAGAGGCUGGCAAGAGCAUAGCCAGGAAAUUCAGAGCUAAAACUGACUAUCUCCUCAAUACAUAUAAUUGUACCUCUUUCCACUAGAAAAAUCAAUGUGUGCCAGAUGGCAACUUAAAGUUGCCUAGAGGAGUGGGGGGUUCUUUUCUUUGUGUCACGUUAUUUAAAUAAGAGGUUUUGGAAUUAAAUUAAAAUGUAAUAUAUUAUUGGCUUUCCUAUAUGUCAAUUACAUUUUCGAGCAUUCUUUUCCUGGGACAAUAGAUAACUAUGGAAUAUCUGUAAAGAUCACGUGUGUGGCUAAGGUGGAUGGGAGGGAGAGGUGCCAUGAAGUGACGCAGCUGAGGAAGCAAAGUUACUGGAUAUGAAUGGGUGAGGUAGGAGUCCAGGAAACUUUGAGGUGGAGGUAGGGCCUUGCUGGAAGAGCUUGGAAGACAAGGGAGGUUUAUGCAUGUUCAAUAUGUUCAGUUCUCAUUUUUACCAGUCAAAAUCUGGAAUAAAUCCCUUGAGAUCAACAGAUUUACUCUGAUUUAUAUACUGCAUCUGAGAUCAUAAUCUGGCCCAGUGUGACUAGAGGAGGAUUUCUGUGGCAUGCUCAAGAUUUUCCUUGAGUAAACAUGUUGGGUCCAUUUCUGCUUUCUUAUUAUACCAGUGCCAAUAAUUGACUCGCAUUAGUGUAAAAGAGUGAAUUUAUUUGGUUGCAUACUAAAGAAAGCUGUCUUCAGAAAGUUGCCUAGUAAAUGAUUCCACAUGCAUUAAUUCACCAGCACUAAAGAUCCUUAACACUUGAGGAUAGAACCUUAGCAACAAAAAGGAUCAUUACUCAGACAAGGAAGAAAGAUGACUGAAAAACAUAAAAAGCAUGUGCUGUGCAGUAACCAUCAAAUGAGGAAAAUGCUAUAGGGAUUUCUGUGAUUUAUGAUGUUCCAUAAAUCUGGGCCUGUCUCUGAUGUGAAUGGAGAGGGCGGAGGGUUGGCAAAGAGCUUCCUCAGUUUUCACUUGUCCAUUUUUUAUCAUGUACAGAAAUUUCCUUGUCAGAUAUUACUUGUUUUACAACCUUGUUUCUAAAAUGUACAGUGAGGACCAGCCACGUUGAUUAUAAUCUAUAAAUACUUAUGUGGGGAACAAAUAUUUAAUAAUGGGUUCUUCAACUGAGCAAAGAAAGGUAUAAUAUGCUCCAAUGGCUUGAAGUUCACGCUAGACAAAUUCAGACUGGAAAUCAGGUGUAAAAUUUAACAGUGAGAGUAAAUUAACCAGUGGAACAAUUUACCAAGGGUCAUGGUGGAUUCUCCAUCACUGACAAUUUUAAAAUCAAGAUUGGAUGUUUUUCUCAAAGAGAUGCUCUAGGAUUAUGGCCUGUGCUAUAGAGGGGAUCAGACUAGAUGAUCACAAAGGUCUCUUCUGGCCUUGAAAUCUAUGAAAUAUAUUUAGGGAUACAGUAACAUGCAUUCAUAAAUUAUACCUCACAACAGCCCUGUGAGCUAGGGAAGUACUAUCUGUAAAAGGGGGAAACUGGUAAUAAAUAAUUUAGAAGUCAUCUUCAAACAUGAGUGCUGUAAAGUGAGUAGUCAGGCAUUAAAGAGUUAAUAAUAUUGUAUUGCUCUUGUAACCCACUCCCUAAGUCGGACACAGGUUUCUUCCCUGCCACACUCAGUCUGUACUAGCAGCAGACAGUAAAGCAGACCCUGAAACUGUCUGUGUUUGUAUGCACGCAGUCAUUCCUGAGCUGUAAACACAACAGGUGCCUAAAGUUAUCCAUAGACAUGUGCUUUAAAAUUAGACACCCUAUAAGCCCCUCAUUGUGCAGUUAGACACCUAAUUUUAGGCUUUUAGGUCUGGAAAUUGCAGUCUACUGGUAAGUGACUUGCCUGUGUUUGUACCAUAUGAACAGGUUUUCAAAGGUAAUUGGGUGCCUAAAAAUGCAGAUUGGUGCCUAGUGGGAUUUUCAAAAGUGUCUAAGCAGAUUAGGUGCCUAACUCACUUUUUAAAAUCCUCAAAGGUGCCCACCUGCAUCAUUAGAUGCAUACAUACCUAUGAAAACCUGGUUCUAAGUUCAUUUUGCAGAGCUAGACAAAACACAGGAUUCCUGACCAUUCCCUUUUCUAACAGCUCCUGUUCUUUACUGGGCUAUUUAAUUGUCCAGUUGAUUUAUCUUUGGGCUUGUCAUGAAUCUUGUUUUAAAAACAGCAAACUAACUAUACAUUUUCCAGGAUAGAAGGGCUACUGAACUAUUAAACAGAGCAGUUGAUUUCACUUUUUAUGCUCUAUAACAAAGUGGGUUGGCCUUGGCCUAGCAAACCACAGGCUAAUUUUAAGCACAUACCCAAGAGAGUGCUCAUGUAGCAAUGAAUUUAUUGAUUACCGAUAAUGUUGUUCUGUAGCUGCUUUGACUGACAAACUGAUAGCACAAGAUAGCUUUGGCUGUUUUAUAUCGGGUGAAUAUAUUCCAUCAAUCUGCUAGAGUUACCAACUGUGAAUGACAAACCGUGUGUCUCUCAGAAACUCCUUUUUAGUGCAGCAAAUGCCCACUCUCUCUUCACUCAACUCCCUUCUUUCAUUAAGCCUUCCAAUAAUAAUCCACCAGAUAAAGAAAUAGAUACACUGGGACAUGGUGAAAGCUUUUUUGUUUAUUAUCUUGUCUUGGUCCUCUUUCUAUUACAUCUUGCAAUGUGUUUUGUCUGUCUAAGGGUAUGUCUACACAAAAAAUGUAAGUUGACCUAUAUUGGGGCGACUUACAGCCACCACAGUAAUUACUGAGGUGGUGCAUGUCCACAUGACCCUCCUUGGGUCAGUGGUGCAUGUCCUCACCAGAAGCGUUUCCACCAACCUACUUAGUAUAAGGGGACUACCAUCAAUCAAAUGUAGGCCCUGCCCCUGACCCCUCAGGCCCCCCCAUCUGUCACCAUAACACCUGCCCCCUGGGGGCAUUAUUUCCGCGGUCAAGACGGACACAUGACCGGAAAGAAAGGGUGUCAUGUGACCCCCUCUAGGAACUCCUCCCACCACCCUCUACCAAUCAGGAUGGGCUUCACCCACUGUAGGACCGUCCUGAGAGGAGAUUUGACCAAUCAGGGGGUGUUCCAGGGCAGGGUGACCUGCCUGGAAGAGGGUCAUUUGAUCACUCUAAAAGCUCCACCUACUGCCCUCUAUCAAUCAGAGUGCAGCACCACACUGGGAAGUCCCUGUGCCGUGCGGAAGAGGCCAUUUCAUUCUAAGAACCCGUAUUUUAGAAAUAGUGGAAAGGCUGAGAGGAAACAUGGACUCCUUCACCACCACCGGGAGAAAUUCGGACUUCAUUUUAGCUCCAAGGGCCUUCGACCGCCCGCGGAGAAAGCGCUACAUCAGCUACAGUUCCAAGGAGGAGGGAGCGGCCGAGGGAAGCCCUUUGGCCCAGCUGUUGAUGGAUACACCAGAACCUGACUCCGAAAACCAACCACUCGUGAGGAAGACCACCCCUAUGGAGGAAGGCGACCAUGGCUCAGGGGAGUCACCAGUGGACAAGAUGAACGGAAAACACGUCCCUCCGCAGCUCAAUGAUGCCUUUCUAGAGGACCCGGAGGCCCUGGACAGCGUCGCAUCAGACAGCGAAGAAGAACUGGGCCCGUCUUGUUUUUGCUCAAUGCUGGUACAAAGCAUUGACGAGGACACCGAGGAUGACAGCUACGUGGAUUUAAGGAGGAGGCUUGGCAUGGAACUAACUGAGGCAGUGCCACGUCGUGAGCAUAAAAAAGUCAUGCAUUCUAUUGCCCAAAUACAUGUGGGAGAAAACAGAAUAACCAUGUGUCAGCAUCUCUUUACCCUGUGAUGGAAGUAUGGUCAAGACAUGAGAGAUCCUUAGACCAGGGGGUAAACAAGCUCAAAAGAAAAAGGAAAGAGACAGCUGAAAAGGAAAAUUCACCAGCAUCAACAGCUGAUAGAUGGAUGAAGCCCAGCAUGGGCAGCUCUCCUGUCAGAGCUACAGGGACACCUCCACCAGGACCACCAAAGAACCAGAAAUCUGCUCUGAGACCUUUAACAACAACAGCGCCAAUGCAAAACAGCACAGACGAAGCAUCAGGGCAGUCCAAAACUUGUAUACGUCAAACCCAAGGACAAAACAAAAGACUCUGGUAAAAAGCAACCAGGCAAACACAACUCCAGUUUCUCAGCGGCCACCACUACACCAAGCCCUGAGAAAACUGUGAGCGAAAACACACACAUUCACAAACCCGGAGAACGCGCUUUAGGGGUUGUGAAUAAAAAAAACAAGAACUGAAACCCCAGCGUCACAGGAGCUAUCGCCUUAUGAAGUAUUUGAAAUUAUGAUGAACCAUUCUCCAAACACAACAAGCUAGGCCCAGCGCUUUGGUAUUCUAAAAAGAUUUGGGAAAAAUAUGACGCUUCAUUCAGAAAGCUGAUGCAUGCUGUAUCCUCUGGGGUUCUAAAAGAAAGGAGGACUGGAAACUACAUCAAAAAUGCAAAUGCUCUUGCGGGUGGCUUUUUGAAAAAUACUUUGGUUUUUCCAGAGGGUGGUUCUGAGCAGGCGUGACUAGUUGUGGAAAGGGGCCUGGGUAAAAGGGGCAUCCUCAAGGGAACACAUCAGCUAAGGCGUAAACAAAAGAGGGGACAGCAUUUGGAGGAUAAAUGGAUGGCUGCCCAAACGUUAUGGGCCAGGGUCGCUGUAAUUUUUUUUAAAAGGCUAAAGAAGUGAUGAGGAGGAAAAAAACAAAGAGAUGCCCCCUAUUGGAGGCUCUCAGACUGAUGUGUCUGAGAAUGGGGAGGCGGAAUCUGAACUGCAGGGUGGUGGUGACUCUCAAAUAGAGUCUGAUUUAGAAAAUUCCCCAGAAGGCCCUCUAGAUGGAUCCCUGUCUACUCCUGAUGAUCCUCGUGGUGGCCCCUCGGAAGCUGACUCUCAAAUAGCAUCUGACAAGGAAGACGCAGCUGAUGGUCCCAUAGAGGAAUGCCCAAGUAACCCUGAAAAUGCAGAUGCAGAUCCCCAAACAGAUGUGUGUAUGGAGUGAGUGAGAAGUUGGCAAUGGGAACUACCUAGAUUUGGGGGUUCGGUGUAUUGAGGAAUUUUGUAAUUUAACCAACCCUUUGUUUUCAGUAAGAAGAACUAGGGAUGAGCUGUCUGCUGAAGACUUCUUAAAUCAGACCUCAAAGCUGUUACAGAGUAAUAGAGAGAUGCAUGUCAAUGGGACGUUGCGCCUCAUUGUGACAAUUGUAAAAAACAUGGGCUGAGGUGGCCGUAGAGUUUUAAAUUCUAUCCUCAGAAGUCAAAUCAUCCAUAAAAAGAGACAGUGUUUAGUAGACCUGAUUGACACCAGUACCAAUCUGUGUUUUGCGGGCAGGCUCUGCCGUCAUGUCCGACUGUAAACCCACAGAUGUGGAAUUGUUAGAUGGGGUGAGAAAAUUGCAUGAGACACUGGAGUGGUCAGAUUAAAAAAAAGAUUAUGCUCAGCGACGUAGCAGCAUUUGAACAGCAUUUAGGAGUCAGCAUACAGGCGGUGCUUUAUGCGGUGAAAGAUGGGGGGGUAAAACGGGAGGCCCAGUGUACCCCAAGACUUUUUUCAUCCUAUUGCACGAUGGGCAUUAUUAUGGGGUUCUGGAUGUGAAAAAGUCAUUCAGUGUGAAAAAUUAUUGUGAGUUUUGCCACAAGUUGUACAGUCAUGACCACUCUUGCAGGUAUCAUUGCUGCCUCCGCUUGAGUGCGACGUGCUCCGAUACGGUGGGCGUGCAGCUGAGGUGUCCUAGCUGUAGACUGUAUUGUCAGUCCAAAGCGUGUUUAGACAGACACAUUGACUGUGCAUCGAAAAAACAAGUCAAAUGCCUGUCUAAAACUUUGUGUGAUAAGUGUCAGUCUUACGUGGAUGAAGGGCACAUGUGUAAAGGGAGGCAUUGUAAGCAGUGUCAGGGUUUGAUCACUGCUGAUGUAGACAGCCACCUGUGUUUUAUGGACCGCGUUAGAAAGCCCGAAUCAUCGGAAAAGUAUAUUUUUGAUGAUUUUGAAGGCACGCAGGAGACGGGGUUGCAUGUGUCCAAUUACAUUUUUGCUAUGUCCCUAAAGCCGGAAAAAUCCUGGGAAUUUCAGGGCAGUGAGUCUUUCUACCAUUGUUAAGACCUUUAUUGGCAAAAAGUACCAGGACUACACGUUCCUAUCACACAAGUUACAAUGUGUACUUCAUCGUUAGACAGUUACUGAAGGAAAAGAUGUGCAUAAAACUAAUGUGGGUGGAAGUUAAGGCCCUGGGCAUUCGUUUUAUCAACGCUUUAAACUUCUUGCCCAUGAAGCUUAGCAAACUCCUGCAGGCGAUGGGGUUUAAAGGUUGCAAAGGGUAUUUCCCACUUUUUUUUUUUAAACACUUUAUAAAACCAAAAUUACAUGGGGCCUAUGCCCGGGUGGAGCACUAUGGCAUAGACCGCAGGAUGCCCAGGGAGAAAGCAGAAUUUCUUGACUGGUAUUGGGACAACAGAUAUGAGACAUUUGACUUGCAGAAAGAGCUCGUGUAUUAUUGUCAGCAGGAUGUCAACAUUUUGAGAUGGGCCUGUAUCCUGUACAGAGAAGAGAUCAUGAAAAUGACAGAGAUGAAGGCCCUGGUAAAUUCACAGAGGUAAAAUUGUAUAUAGAUCCUUUCCGGUACAUAACGCUGGCAUCUGUCUGCAUGGCUAUGUACAGGUUUAUGUUUUUGCAGCCUAACACAGUAGCUCUUCUCCUUCCAGACAACUAUCACAGGCAGAAAGAGAUAUUCGACCCCCUCUAUUUAGUGGCUGCUGUAUACCGCUCACAAAGAAAAUAUACAGAUACGGCAUGCUUUACGGGGUGGGGAAUUACAGGUAAGCCCCUACUUUUUAGACAGUUACGCCAGUGUUGAUGGGGUACGCAUGGCCUUUGAGUUUAACGGGUGUGUUUUCCACAGCUGUGUCCCCUAUUAUUGUGAAAAAGCACAGCACCCUAUGAUGGGGACGACUUUUGAGUUUCUUUAUUACACGACGCAGCUCACGAUCGACUAUCUGAAAAGACUUGGUUAUGUAGUGAGGAGUCUCUAGGAGCACGAGGGGGAGACGAUAGUAGAAACAGACAGGAAGCUUGCAGAUUUCUUACAUAAAGCCCAGCUGCCUCAGCCUCUCGUACCUAGGGAUGCUCUUUUUGCUGGGAGGACUAACGCUAUUCGCCUAUAUUACAAACUUAACCCCGGGGAAGAAAUCCACUAUUAUGAUUUUACCAGCCUGUGUGCUUUCGUAAACAAAACCAAAGAAUCCCCAAUCAGACACCCUGCUAUAGUUCAUGACAAAUUUGGACCCCUCAAAUUAUUUUGGAAUUGCGAAAGUUAGUGUACCCCCCUGCGAGGCCUCUUUUUCCCAUUGUUACCUGUCAGAGCGAGUGGCAAACUUAUGUUCCCACUAUGCUGAACCUGUGCGGAAACCGAGCAGCGGGAGAUGUGCACCCAUACUGAGGAGGAGACAGCCAUCCUGGGGCCUUGGUGCACGGUGGAAUUGAAUGUGGCCAUAGAGAAGGGGUACGCGGUGACUAAAAUCUAUUUUUUGAAGAAAAAUCCGAGAACUCUUUUCAGAGUACAUAAAAUUACACCUCCGCCAAAAACAAGAGGCUUCAGGGUAUCCCAGCUGGUGCACAGAUGAAGAAAAACAAAAUAAGUAUGUUAAUGAUUUCUACUGGAAAGAAGGCAUGCGUUUACCCCAACACAAGAUCACGUUGAACCCCGCAAAGCGCCAAAUUGCUAAACUGUUUUUAAAUGUUCUCUGGGGUAAAUUUGGUCAAAGAACAAACCUACCCAAUACCAGCAUUGUGAGAGACGCUGACGAACUCUUUCAGUCCCUGUUUUCCCCCAAUUACGAGGUUUCAUCCUGCGAGUUUGUCGAUGAUGAAACAGCGUGCGUGUCUUGGAAGAACGCGAAAGACCAGUACUCGGUCUCUGGCAAUACCAACAUCUUCAUAGCCUGUUUCAGCACCACUUACAGCUGCUUAGAACUAUAGAACCUGGUAGACGGGUCCAAGAGUGGUGCCUGUACCACGACUCUGACUCGGUGAUAUUUGUGAAAAGGGAGGGUGAAUGGAACCCUCCUCUGGAGGAUUAUUUAGGGGACCUCACAAGUGAGAUCCUGCCAGAUCAACACAUCACCGAGUUUGUGUCAGCCAGCCCAAAAACAUAUGGAUACAAGCUGUCGGGAGGAAAGGCCUGUAUGAAAGUCACAGGGAUUACCCUGAACGUAGCAAACUAUGAAAAGAUCAACUUUGACAGUUUGAAAGAUCUAGUCCUGGACUAUAGGGCGGUGCUGGGAGAGAACACCCCAAAAAAGGUAGAGGUGCAGCAGCCCUGUAUCGUAAGGAAGAAAAAAAAAUAAGUAGCAAAUAGAGACAAAGACCCUUAAAAAAACGCAGAAAGUCGUUUACAACAAGAGGGUCCUUGGAGAAAGGUUUAAAAUCCU